UGCACUAAUUAAAUGUAAGUCACUCUGGAAAAGAGCGUCUGCUAAAUGACUGAAA
rfam:Salmo salar isolate Sally breed double haploid chromosome ssa01, whole genome shotgun sequence.